rnacentral:sRNA from 1 species
CAUUCUUCUGGCAUCACAGUUCACUGUCUGCAGUGAUUUAAUUCUUUGUAGCAUAAAAGAGGAAAAGAGUCAUUAGGUGUCUUUUUAUUCCUUUAUUCCUAGCUUUCAUACUUAGAUGUUGAAGGAAAUUCCAUCAAUAUGGUGCAAAUGACAUUCCUGAAACUUCUGACUGCCUCUGCUCGGCAAAAUUUCACCUACCACUGUCAUCAGUCAGCAGCCUGGUAUGAUGUGUCAUCAGGAAGUUAUGACAAAGCACUUCGGUUCCUGGGAUCAAAUGAUGAGGAGAUGUCCUAUGACAAUAACCCUUUCAUCAAAGCACUGUAUGAUGGCUGUGCGUCCAGAAAAGGCUAUGAAAAGACUGUCAUUGAAAUCAAUACACCAAAAAUUGACCAAGUACCUAUUGUUGAUGUCAUGAUCAAUGACUUUGGUGAUCAGAAUCAGAAGUUUGGAUUUGAAGUUGGUCCUGUUUGUUUUCUUGGCUAAGAUUAAGACAAAGAACAUAUCAAAUCAACAGAAAAUAUACCUUGGUGCCACCAACCCAUUUUGUGCCACAUGCAAGUUUUGAAUAAGGAUGGUAUAGAAAACAACGCUGCAUAUACAGGUGCCAUUUAGGAAAUACCAAUGCCCUUGUGGGGGCAGAAUCACAUGGCAAAAGCUUUGAAAAUCAUAAAGAUAUAAGUUGGUGUGGCUAAGAUGGAAACAGGGCUGAUUCUUGAUUCCCAAUUCUCAACUCUCCUUUUCCUGUUUGAAUUUCUUUGGUGCUGUAGAAAACAAAAAAAAGAAAAA